rnacentral:rRNA from 1 species
AUUGAACGCUGACGGCAGGCCUAACACAUGAAAGUCGAACGAGUGGCGGAAGGGUGAGUAAUGUCUGGGAAACUGCCUGAUGGAGGGGGAUAACUACUGAAAACGGUAGCUAAUACCGCAUCCCCUCGGAUAUUCCCAGAUGGGAUUAGCUAGUAGGUGGGGUAAAGGCUCACCUAGGAGACGAUCACUAGCUGUGCUGAGAGGAUGACCAGCCUAACGGGAAUUGAGAAACGGUCCAGACUCCUACGGGAGGCAGCUGGGGGGAUUAUUGCACAAUGGGCGCAAGCCUGAUGCAGCCAUGCCGCGUGUAUGAAGAAGGCCUUCGGGUUGUAAAGUACUUUCAUUGGGGAGGCGUUACCCGCAGAAGAAGCACCGGCUAACUCCGUGACAGCAGCCGCGGUAAUUC